UUCCACAAAGAUUCAUGUUUUAUUUCCCAGGAUGCUUUAUGAAAAGUUAUUUCCAUGCAAAGAUCAAAACAACUAUCUUUGAGUCAGAGAGUAAGCUGUGAGGUGCAGUGCUCCCGUGACGCCAACAAAUUAAGUAACAAUUUCACAGCCAGCAAAAAAAAGGAACAUGACAUCAACAUGAGCCGCCUUUUAUAGACAACACCAUCUCAACCCGAGAGAGCCACUGCCGUCUUAAAAAAAAAUCCAAAGAUUGUCUCUGCAGCGAGGGUGCUCGUUUCUGUGACCUCACACUGUAAUUAUAAAGUCUGACACAAUAGUUCACCUAAACCUGAAAGACAUUACCACACCACGUGGGUGUAGUUCACAAAGCAGAUUAGUGCUUUUUAUAAAUAAACAUAAAUACAAUUAAGUUUGACUUUUUACACGUCGGCAUGCCAAUCAGAGUCAAUUUUUUUAAGCAUCAAUCUGAUGUAGCAUCAGGAAUCAUUUGGCAAUUUCAUCAAAGUCAUUUACUGUACACAUUUUGUUUUUUUUGUCCUCACAGUCAUGUAGCCAAACUGGAAAAGCCUGCAUUAGGAAACACACAGAAAGCUCUAUGAAGCUAUUGUUGUUUACUGUCGAGUCAGCAGCUCAAAGCCACCAAUGAGCUCAGGGAAACGCUGACUCUACCAGAUCUGAAGAGCAAAACGGUGGUUUGGUUUAUCAAAGUCUACUACGUAGCCCUUAAAUAACAGGAUGCCAGUCACAGGUUUUGAUGCUUCAUGCAUAGAAUUCUGCAACAUGUCACUGCACAUAACAGGCAUUCCCACAAAGUGCACCAUUUGGAAACAUAAUAAAAAUCUCACAGACUGAAGCGUUACCUGCUCAGAAACAAGUAAAAAACCAAAACCAAACAGAUGCCGUAACAUCACAACAAAGUGUCUCAUUUUUUAAAUAAUAAAUUAUUAGCAUUAGUUUUUUUUUUCCCUUUUCUUUUUUUUUUUUUUUCUUUUUAAAGCAACUAGCGAGCUUUCAUCCACUGGAUAAUAGUACACCACUUGGAUCAGUGAGAGAGUAGAGAAUGAUAGUCAUUGCACAACCAAAGCUUAACAAUUCACCUGUCCAAUACACAUUAACAGGCUUGUGUUCCAACACAAGCAGCCCACGGGUAAUCAGUAACCCUCACCAGUAAAUAGGCAGGCGAGAGGAUGCUUGUCAUCUAACCGUUUGCUCAGUGCAACUUUUAAAAUGUAGCCCUUGAUAAGAAGCUCUGAAAAAAUAUAGACACUUCCUUCAAAUCUUUCUUAAAUCCUGAUAGUCCACUACCUACCGAGGUAUAGUGUAGAGAGCGAUGCAAUACGAAUUCAUUCACAGUCUGACCAAAGUUAAGUUAAAUAAACGCUAUAUACACAGUCAGGGCUUCAACAGGCGAUAAAUGAGCCGUUUUUGAGCCUUGAAGAAGCUUCAGUAGGACACUUGACAGGAGCAAGGCCAAGAUCGCUGUCAGAGGGUAUGGGGGUGGGUUUGGCGAUCCGGGGGUUUUCUUUUUUGGCACUUCUUGGUGAAGUUUAGGAGAUGGGUGACAGGGAUACAGGGCACUGCCCGUUGUUGUUCAUGAUGUCAUCCAAGUCCUCAUCAUCCAGGUCCACUGAGGAGGAAAAAGCAGACAAGCAGUUAUUAUAAUAAUCACAUAUUAGCUACAAUUCAAUUCAAUUCAAUUUUAUUCAAACAGCGCCAAAUCGCAACAACAGUCGCCUCAAGGUGCUUUAUAUUGUAAGGUAGACCCUAUAAUAAUACAUAGAGAAAACCCAACAAUCAUAUCACCCCCCUAUGAGCAAUCACUUUGGUGACAGUGGGAAGGAAAAACUCUCUUUUAACAGGAAGAAACUUCUGGCAUAACCAGGCUCAGGGAGGGGCGGGGCCAUCUGCCACCACCGGUUGGGGUGAGAGGAGCAAGACAGAUUAGCUACUUAAGCAAAAUGAAAUUUAAAGGGGCAAGAAGGGUGAGCCCAUGCACAGUUGAAAGAUUAUCCAAGUAAAAAAUUCUUAGACAUGCCAAGACUGAUCUGAAAUACAAACUCUAGACCCCACAUGGAUACACACCCUCUGGACAGCUAUAUAACUGUGGGCAUAAGCGAUCAGCGGACUCAGAGUUCCUCGUCGUCCCAACGAACACUUUGAAGACUUCAGAGUAAGAAGAAACACCUUUGGCAUCAUGUCCAGGAUCACCGCGGUAACGAUCUUGCUCAUCAUUCUCGUCAACAGCUUGUGCAGCAGCGCAGCUCCUUCCCAUGGAGUAUCCCUGUAUAUUCGCAAGUGCAGAUGCACAGAGAUUUCCACAGGCAGGUUUAAGUGUCCCAAACCGCUCAUGCCCACAAACUACAACAAGCAGCGGGAUCUGGUUAAAUGCGUCUGCAAAAAAAUACAAGAAGAGAAGCGUUCAGAUCUUCUACGGUUCUGCCGUGUGAACUACAAAAAGAAAUUUGCUGAACUGCUCUGAGAUGAACAAGUUGAAUGACUGACUAACCAAACUUAACAUCCUGUUACGUAUGACAUUAAUCUUGUUAUGUAGAUGUUUGUGAUUUUUUCUGAAAUUGUAAAUAAAGACAGAUAUUUUUUUAUUACAUACAGUCUCGUGUCCUUUUGUGUUUCCACAUAUUUAACUGAAAAAGUCCUCAAUCUUGAAAACUAAUAAAAUGAACAUUUUUAAUAUCCAAUUAUUCAAUUUUUUGUCCAUUGUUUUAGUAUUUUGAAACUUUAAAAAUAUGAAAGGGAAACCAUUAUUGUUAAAUGUGAUUUGGUCUCACUCUGAAUUGUGUUCAUAGAUUUCAUAGAGACAAUAACAUAAAUACAUUGAUUAACAUUGAACCAUUUCUAUGGAGGAUUACUUGUUUCCCAGCUUCC
ensembl:lncRNA